GGUAAUGACUACAAAACAGUCGGCCGUAUUCUUGUCCAGUCGAACGGCCGGUUCAAUCCAGCGCCCAUCGCUGAUCCAACAAGACUAGCGCGCGCCAACCAUGUGCACUGACAAGCAUGCCCCACCUUCUAGAAAGCGGGAGGGUCGCACACAAGUUCAUUUCAUCUACUCAUCCUCUCUCAGUCUCUCUAGGGUUCCUCUUUCUUCUCCAGCCGCUCUAGCACUCUCCUGUCCACCGGCGAAGGAGGUCAUCGAGGCAAGCAACUAGAAUCCGGAGGGGGAGGGAGUGCUGGAAGAGAAGAUCACAUAGAAUAAGCACCUCUCCCUUCCGCGGGGUGCCCCCGCACACUUGAAAUCUCUCUCCCCUCAUCUUUGAUUUGGGGUGCCUUUUACUUUCAGUUUCAUUUCCAUGGCCCAGCGAAAGCAUGGAGGGCACAGGCGGUGGAGAUCGAGCUGGCAUUGAUUCCGGUGAUUUUUGUUCCUCUCGUCACCAGAUCAAGGGAACUAUGAGGUGCGCAGGACAUCGAAUCGAUGCCCACCCUGUGCUCCUCGUCGGCGGCCGCAGCACCGGGGAUUCAGCAUUUCAGAGGUAAACCCCAUGCCCAUUGAGCCAACUAGAUGCGAUUUCCCCUAGGUCUUUCUCCUAUGUGGGUGUUGUCUAGUCCUCCUGCACGCGUUCAAGCCGAUUUGGCUUCUGUCUUGGUGUUUUUCCGUUUUAGGGUUUCAUUUCUAUCUUGCUGCAUGUAUUUUAGCCCCCUCCCGCUGGCUGCAGUAGCAAUUUGGUAGAGAUUGGUUGCUGGAAAUUUUGGCUAUAGGUGAGAGAUUGGGGGAAGAAAAAUUUUGGUGGGAGUGUGUAGUGCUGGUAGAGAUUGGUACUAAUCUUGUUGUUCUGUAGGGAGUCAAAUCAAUGCAAGCGAUUAUUGAUUUCUGGCCUUCUACAACAGCUGCUCCAGAUCGAUACAAAUAUUACUGUGCCAAGCUCUUGUAAUUUUACCUCUAUAUGUGUCAGAUUUAAUCAGUUUAGAUCAAACCCAGUGGUUCUAUAACUUUUUUCUCCUUCGGGCAGCAAGUGCUCAUGUGUUUUUACUUAAUGAUGCGAAGCCGUAGCACAUCUCCUAGCUUUUGCAUUGUUUCUCAUGUAGGAACAUUAAUUUGAGAUAGCUGAUUUUUUCCAUAUUUGUUACCUGGGCCUUUUUCUAUAUUUUUUGUGUGGUUAGCAGCAGCACUUCUGUUUUAACCGUGUGCUUCUGAUGGGGAGGGAGGCCAGAGAUAUCAGAUUUUUUAUGAUAGUGCUGAUGAAAUAAAUCAUAGAUUCCAUUGAUAUUGUAUUUGUUGUCUAAUAUAGUUUAUUGGAUUUAUCGCGACUCACUGUACAUUUUUUUUGUUCAGCUGAUUAACAAAUCAUAUGUAGUAAGCUACACAUUUGCUUUACUAAUUUUUUUUACGGCGAUGUAUAUCUCCUGUUGAUAUAUAAUUGAAUAAUUAUUUUACGCCUACUCAUUUGCUUUAAGUUGCUCCUGAGUUUAUUAUAAUAUGCCUACAACUCCUAGCAAGAAUGCUUAUUGUUGUAUGAUUAAAGUAUCACCAAAAUUUAUAGUUGAGCAAAAUGUUCCGUUCAUUCAUCAUGGGAGUUAUCUAUGUAAAGUAGCAAAAUGUUCUGUUCAUUCAUCAUGAGAGUGAUGCAAAAAUGUUCUGUUCAGUUAAACAUUAGUUUGAGGUCGCGGUGGGUUUCCUAGAACAAGCUAACUUUUACUAAGUUAGAUGUGUUUCAUUAGGAUCAUUCUCGUCCUAAUUACCCAAGUUCCUUAAGGGAAGUUCUGAUGACUAUCCAGGUUGCUCAUCAAUGAAUGAAGAAUAAAUCAGUUCAUCCACGCAUCCUCUGGAUGGCACUGGAUCCAAUGCCGAAAAGACAACCUCUGCAUUAUGUCUGAAAUUCAGAUGAUUCAGAACUGAAAACUCAAGAACUAUGCCUGAUAAAUCUUGUACAGAGCAAUGUGGAAAGGUGAGUGGAGAGGUAUGCUCGUGAGUAAGUUGAAACCUUAUGCUCCUCCCUAAAUAAAACUGUAUGCAGCCCAGCUAAGAUUUGGUACCCACCAAGGAUACCUCUACAUCUAUUUCUUCCAAAGCUCUCUGCCUCAAGACUGCCUAGCUUCCUUCCUAUUCUAGCUUCCAAAUUCCACGGCCCACUGUAUAGGCAUGAAUAUAUGAGCCAUUAGCCAUAAUGCAUUUGAUGAGUAAUGAGUGACCAAUCUCUGAAUCUUUGAUUGCUUAUGUCAUAGGUCAGUACUGCAGCACCGUGCUAGGAUGGAAAGCAACAGUGCUACGGUUUCAUCACAGAAGGGGGGAAAAAUGGUAAGUGAAGUUGAUCCAUCCAAUUAUGAAUUUGUUUCUCUUUGCUGUUGCCAUUCUUUGGAUGUUAGUUGCAGACCGAGAAUGAACUUUCCAUGCCCUCCGUGACAAAGUUAGUGUUCAGUUUUUGAAUUAGAUUAUUAGAAUCAUCUAAUGUUUGAUUGAAUUAUUCAGUGAUGUUUAUAAUCAGUUAUUAAUGAGAAGUUCAUAUCUGAUAAUAAGAACACUAUUUUAUGAUGUGAGAUUGUGACAUGAUCUAUGGAAUUGGAUAUCAUGUGGUUCUUAAUUAGGCAAUAAUAUGGUCUUAAAAAGGCAAAAUAGUGUACUUUAUUAGGCAAUGUUACAUAACAUCUAAUUUUCAGUAUGUCGUUGUGAAACAGCAGUAUUGCUACUAGACCUCAAACCAGUAUUCUGAUUGUAGGAAUUAGCUUGUGUAUUUUUUUACCAGAGGGAAUAGGUGAAUGGCUAUAUUUCUUGAAUCCGUGAAGUGCAUAUACAUUGCAUUAGUAUGGCAUGAACAAGUAUGGCGGAUAUUCAGGUUAUGUCCAAUCUGGCUGAUCAUCAUGGAUGGUGAGUGUUUGUUUUUUUGCAGCCUCAGCUCCCUGGUAUUUUUGGAGUUCUUUGUGGACAGGGGUGGGGGAUUUCAUUUUCUUCUUCCUUUUUUAAAUCUGCUUUCUAAUUGUACAACUGUAUCUACUACGCACCUAUUAAACAGUUCACAUUUUGAAAUAUAUGUUGUAUAGUUGAGCCUCUAAUUGUUCUUUUCUGACUUAGGUAUUUUAUCUUUUAAGUUAGGCAAAAGUACUAUUACUAAUUAAGAAAAUUACUUCUUUUUCUAGCUUUGAAUUAGCCUCACACCCCAGCACGAAAAGCACACGAGGUGAGUCAACCUGACCCCCCUGCCCCCUCGGCUCAAAGUUGUAUGUGCUCUGUGGAUUUCCCGGAUUUUUGUUAGGCCGACAUAGCUCGUGGAUCAUAUUUCAGGUUGAACGAAUAGGCUGUAUUGUUAUGUUUGGUAUAGCUGUUGAACCAUAAAUGGAUUGUAGCAUUUUAGUGCUUAAAUUAUAGCUUGAAAUGUACAGCUCUGUAAAAUAUAUCUCCUAAUUGAUUGUGUCAUGUUUUUUAUUUGAAGAAUUUGAUUGGUGAAAUGCCCUAUCCAAGAUGAUAAUCAAAACUAGUAUUAUUGUAUCUUUUCCAGGUGGGUUCAUGGGGUGGAAAUGGGUUGGUGUGCCACAUGAAUGCCAAAGUAUUAUGAACAUGUCUAGUUACUCUGAACAUGUCUAGUUAUUAGCUUUUCCUUUUUAGAUUGGAGUUCCAAAACAGGGGACCAAACAAGCAAAAAUAGUGUGUUCAUUUUUUAAUGCAGUCAGAUGGAGUUUUUCCCCCUCUAAACACAGGACAUACACUUAAUUUUUGGUUGUUUUCCACAUGCAGUCAGUCAGUCACGAUUGUUGGUUCCACAAGCUGAUGCAUGCUCAACAUUGGGGGCGGGCGUUCAGUGUGCAACAUUCAAGAAAAAGAGGAUAUUUGCAACAUUCGGAUGAUCCUGAUGCACACAUGGCUUAAUUUUGAAGAAAAUGACAGUGGGAAAGCAUCCUGAAUUUGGCAUAGGCUUUUACAGCAGUGGACUCAAAUCAGGUUUUACAUCAGUGGAUUCUACAUCAGCACAUCUGUCCGGAUUCUCACGUACACAAUUUAGUUUUUGUAAUUGAAGAUCUGCUAUUUAUGUAUCUGGGGGGAUAUGUUUUUCCCAAAUCUUGUUGCUAGAACUUUGAAAUAAAGUUGCGCAAGAUUGCUGCAUAAAAGAUUGAGAUCCGAUCAGUGUGUCAC